rnacentral:tRNA from 1 species
GGGCCGGUAGCUCAGUGGUAGAGCACCGGACUUUUAAUCCGGGUGUCGUGGGUUCGAAUCCCACCCGGCUCA